UUUCUGCUUCUUCACUGUUUUUUUAUGCUGAACCUAGAAUGAGAUGCAUGCUCAUUCUAGUUAGUAUACUGAGCACAGCAACCCUGCAUUUUUUUUACAGUGACGGGCUUCAGUUUUUUCAGUAAUAGUAGUGUUUUUCGCAGCACAUACUGAUAUGCAUACUCAUUGUUUUGAGGUUUUUAUCUGUGAUGAUUGCUUCUUCUUUUUUUCAUUCCUGGUGCAAUGGGGGCAGUGGUGCUUCAUUUUCAAAUCAUUCCAUAUUUUUAUAUAUAGUGUGUUUCGUUCCGCUGUUGUUGUUGCAUAGGUUCGUAACAAAGCGAUAUAAUAUGUUGUCGUUGUUGUUCUUUUUGUUUUUGCAGAGACUCAACAAUGGAUGAUGAGGAACCUACUAAUGGAUCUUUCUCAGCACGUGUUUGUACCUUGGUUGUGUCUGUUUGCGCGGAAACAUCUGAAUGAUGAAAAGAGGGUAGUCAUAAACAAGUCAGCUUCGGAUCUAUGAUGAAUAUCGCCUCAUUCUCUGUACUAGAGCCUCAAGAAUGGAUGAUGAGAUUGAAGAACCUACUGAUGGGUCCUUCACAACAGGUUUUUCAGCUUCUCGCUUGCGUCAGGUUGCUGAGAAACAUCUGAAUGACGACAAGAGGGGAAUCUGAAAUGAUUGCAACUUUGUUUCUUUGAUGAAUAUUUCCCCCUUUUAUGUACCAGAUGAGCUGCUAGACCGGGUAGUCAUGAAGAUUGACCCUAAGCAGGGUUUGUUUAGUCAUAAAAAGAAAGAUAUAUCUGUACUUAAGAAGGCGAGGAACCACGAAACUGCGACCAUGGAGAGGUCUUGGGUUCUUUUACGCAUCACGCUUGUGCUAGUGCUUCGCACCGGCAACGUGGUGCCCUUGAGUACCUUGCUAGCCUGAAGGACAUCGCUGAACUUGACGAUUUUGCGUGAGACGAGCGCAUCUUGGCUGCUGCAUUGAGAGGUGAAGAAGUACCGACACAAAGAAGGAGGCUUGGGGUUCCAAGCUUCUUGAUUGGUCGUCGCCUACCAAUGUUUCUGAUAAUAUGCAAGGACCAUAUGGAGGCGCCACGAUCAUGCAUUAGUGAGCAAAUGGGGUGGUUCGCGCACCGAAAUGCCAUUGCUCCUCCGCUGCGGCAAGGAGGUCGUGGCAUCGUGCUGCUGCUGCAUGUGAGCUCGUCGAGAUGAGAGCUCAUCUCCCUCAACUCUGGCGGCACCCACCGUUGUGCUGUGUUGCAACACCCUCGGUGCUACCACGUGGGACUGUUGUGGCGGGGCGUCCGCUGCUGCUGCUUUGCAACACCACCGCUACUGCAAGGGCUGUUGCGUGUGCGCACGUCCAGGGCAUCUCCCUCAACUCCAGCGUCCGCCACUGUCGUGCUAGUUGCAACACCAUCGAUGCUGCCGGCGAAGGCUGCUGUAGCGGGGCGUCUGAUACUGCUGCUUUGCAACAACACCGCUACUGCAAAGGCUGCUGCGUGUGCGCUCGACGCGACAGGGCAUCUCCCUCAACUCCGGCGGUCACCGCCGAAGCUGCAUUGGAACACUAGUGCUGCGAUUGGUCACUACUAUGUAGUGGGCGUCUGGUGAUGCUACUUUGUAACACCAGCGCUGCUGCAAGGUCCACGACGGCGACGCGUGCUGCGAUCCCAGGGGGGUUGCGGAGCUGCGAGCCAACAAGCUGUGAAGCCGAGGGUUCGAUGCUAAGUACAAUGGUUGAUCAUCAUCGCUUUGUGCCCGUGCUACGAGGAGCCUGCCAUUCGGUGAUGUGAAGCAGGCCAUGGAGAAACUAUUUUAGCGUUGCGAAGCUAGCCACCGGCUCUUCCUAUUGUCACGCGAGUGGCGAGGCAGGGGAUAUGAUAGAGUGAGACGAGGGGUUAGAUCAGACGGUUAUUAAUGAUUUAAGCAUGCGGCUGGCGAGGCGGUUGAUCGCCUGCGGGGAUCAGCCGGUUGAUUUGUAGCCUUGCCAUUUUUCAAUUUGGAUGCAUUGGGACCCAAGACCAGUGGGUAUUUCCGCUCUAAGCAUCGCUUGUCUUCUACU